UCUGCCCUCCCCCCGGUCCCGGUGUCGUCCGCCGGGGCCCCGCCGCUCCCUCCCUCCCUUGCGCAAUGCGUCUGGGCCGCCCGUAACACCGGGGUCCCCCGAUCUCUCCAGCCCGUCCCCUGCCGGCUCUUCCUUAUGGGAGGUUUAAAUUAUGUGGCCUUUGACCCCCAGCACCCACCCACAAUGCUGAUCGGAGCGCUUCAGCACAACGCUGACGCUGCGACCCAGGAAGAAAUGUAUCUCCGGGUGCUGAUGCUAAUCUCUAACGCAGCAUGGAAAUAUCGGUUAAAACAGCGAUUUUCUCGGACGCUUUUGAUUGUGCAUUGGAAGUCCUUGUGGUUUUGCGAAAAGCACGCGUUUUAUUAAGCCAUUUAAGUAAUUUUGAAUUUCUACUGCAACCGAAUAUACUGAGUGUAUUUAAAAAACCAAUAGUGUGACUGGCAUCAGACUUCGUGUGACCUCAAAUGUACGUUUAUUUUCAUUAUUGGCAGUGUAGCACUCCUGUGUCCUUAAUUUUAAAUGUAUGAAUAUUGUCAGUGUUAUUUUUAAGUCAGUGUCAACUCCUAGUUACUAUCAGAGGUACUUCUCUGGUUGUUGUCUUUUUCUUUUACCUUAAAUAGGUAUGUUAGCAAAAAUUUCAAAAUGAUAUUAUUGUAAAAUGGAUUAUUUAUCAUGAUAGAGCUGGAAAUAAGUUUUCCAAUGACACCAAGAUUCAUGUAAUAGGUUGAGAAAUAAAAAAAUAAAUACAUUUCAAAAUCUUUGAAUGCAGGGUAAUUAACGUCCUUUAAGGCGUGCAAGAGGAAGGGUUGGCGCUGACACACCAGCACUGCAGGAGCUAUCUGCCCCAUCAUUGGAGGCCACGCACUGUUGGCUGCCAGUGUACCCCAGGGAAUUGCUUUGGAACUGAGGCCGGAAGUGAGUCAGCCACAUUUCUAUGAAUGCAGAAGCUGAUGUGCGAAUGAGAGAAGGGUCUGGCUGCAGAUGUCCACCAGGAGGACCUCCACUAGAGGGAUGGAAUCACGUGAUCUCCACAAGCGAGUCCAGACAUGAUGUGAUCUCCAUAAGUGAACCCGGACAUGACGUAUAUAAACCUAUGCCAUGGAAGUAGUACCAGAUAUCACAUGACCUCCACACACAGCCCGGACUUUAACUCGACCAAACGCCUGAAGACGGGUACAUGUUUACCCUCAAGGACAGUCUUAGACUCCUCAGUCCAGUGUGCAAACAACCUUCCUAGUUAACUAUUGUAACAACACCCAAACCUCAGGGCAAUUUCCCGUGUUUAAACAGGAAAAAAAUGGACACCUGUCACGCCCGGCUCGUCCGCUCCUCCUGUGUGCCACGCCCCCUGCUUACCCACGUGUGUUUCCCGAAUUGUACCCAGCUGUUUCCGUUUGCUGUCAUUCAGUCUGGUGUAUUUAAGUCCUGGUCUCCCCAGUUUGCUUUGUCUGUCAUUGAUGUCUGUU